UUUCCAAGGCGGCAAGGCCAAGCCUGUCUGACUUCCAACUCCUCCGAUCAAUGGCCGUCUCCGCCGCCAACUCCGCCGCCGCCUUAUCGGCGUUUCCCACGCCCUACGGAGAGGUGAAGAGGAUCUCCGUAUCAACUGGGUGGAGAUGCGUGAGGUUCGGCGGUGGGAUGAGGAGAUCCAGUGCGGCGGUGGCAUCGGCUGCUAUGGAAAAGGGCAAAGGGGUGAACAACUCGAACUAUGUAGUUCCCCUCGACAAGGCUAGUUCCGGAAUCACCCGUCCCCUCGCCGAGAUCCUCCGUGACCUCAACAAGCGCGUACCGGACAACAUCAUCAAUAACAACACAAUACCUUGGUAUCAUGUGAACAGAAUGCUGAGCUUCUACGCCCCAGGCUGGUGCGGAGAAGUGCGAGAUAUUAUAUACUCGGAGAAUGGCACUGUUACAGUAAUCUAUCGUGUUACU
rnacentral:misc_RNA from 1 species